ensembl:snoRNA SNORD14 Small nucleolar RNA SNORD14
UUGCUGUGAUGAAGCUUCUUCCUGCCAUUCGUAGUUUCCACCAGAGGUCAAAACGACCAGAGACGGUCCAAACCUUCCUUGGAUGUCUGAGCGA